rnacentral:lncRNA from 10 species
AGAUGCCUUCCAGCUGCUGGCUGGUCCCCAGGACCCCACUGCCACUGAGAGCUGACGAGUGGUCGAGUGCACGCAAGUAUGUGCAGCUUGGAGAGGUGCAGUGACGUGCCUGAGGUCUACGGCCCCAAAUGGCAGAUGAGGGGCUCAAUUCCAGGCUUGUCUGUGGGGUGCCCUCCCUGGACACAAGGACUGCCAACCCUGUGUGAAUGUGAGCCUCAUGAAGGAGACAGGUGAGAAGCCUGAGUGCUGGUGGCUGUAGGCUGCUAAACUGUAAAUACAGAUAAUGUCCAAAG